rnacentral:rRNA from 1 species
AACGAACGCUGGCGGCGUGCCUAACACAUGCAAGUCGUGCGAGAAAGUUCCUUCGGGAGCGAGUAAAGCGGCGCACGGGUGAGUAACACGUAGGUAACCUGCCCCCCAGUCUGGAACAACUAGAGGAAACUCUAGCUAAUGCCGGAUGAGACCACGAUCCCUUCGGGGGUUGCGGCCAAAGAUGGCCUCUACUUGUAAGCUAUCGCUGAGGGAUGGGCCUGCGGGCCAUUAGCUUGUUGGUGAGGUAACGGCUCACCAAGGCUGUGAUGGCUAGUUGGUCUGAGAGGAUGACCAGCCACACUGGGACUGAGACACGGCCCAGACUCCUACGGGAGGCAGCAGUGGGAAUAUUGCUCAAUGGGCGAAGCCUGACGCAGCGACGCCGCGU